GAUGAACGCUGGCGGCGUGCUUAACACAUGCAAGUCGAGCGAGAAGUUUUGAACAGAUUCUUCGGAUGAAAUUUAAAAUGGAAAGCGGCGGACGGGUGAGUAACGCGUAGGCAACCUGCCCCAUACAAAGGGAUAGCAUUUGGAAACGAAUAUUAAUACCUUAUGAAACUUAACUAGUGCAUGCUAGGUAGGUCAAAGAUUUAUCGGUAUGGGAUGGGCCUGCGUCUGAUUAGCUAGUUGGUGAGGUAACGGCUCACCAAGGCGACGAUCAGUAGCCGACCUGAGAGGGUGAACGGCCACAUUGGAACUGAGGCACGGUCCAAACUCCUACGGGAGGCAGCAGUGGGGAAUAUUGCACAAUGGGGGAAACCCUGAUGCAGCAACGCCGCGUGAACGAUGAAGGCCUUUGGGUCGUAAAGUUCUGUUCUAGGUGAUGAAAACUGACAGUAACCUAGGAGAAAGCCCCGGCUAACUCCGUG
rnacentral:rRNA from 1 species